CACGUAGGGGCCAAGCGUUGUCCGGAUUUAUUGGGCGUAAAGAGCUCGUAGGCGGCUCGGUAAGUCGGGUGUGAAACCUCCAGGCUCAACCUGGAGACGCCACCCGAUACUGCUGUGGCUAGAGUCCGGUAGGGGAGCGUGGAAUUCCUGGUGUAGCGGUGAAAUGCGCAGAUAUCAGGAGGAACACCAGCGGCGAAGGCGGCGCUCUGGGCCGGAACUGACGCUGAGGAGCGAAAGCGUGGGGAGCAAACAGG
rnacentral:rRNA from 1 species